rnacentral:rRNA from 1 species
UACGUAGGAUCCAAGCGUUGUCCGGAUUUACUGGGUGUAAAGGGUGCGCAGGCGGACUUGUUAGUCAGAGGUGAAAUCUCACUGCUCAACAGUGAAACUGCCUUUGAUACUGCAGGUCUUGAAUCCAGAAGAGAGUUGUGGAAUUCCGAGUGUAGCAGUGAAGUGUGUAGAUAUUCGGAAGAACACCAGCGGCGAAGGCAGCAACUUGGUCUGGUAUUGACGCUCAGGCACGAAAGCAUGGGGAUCAAACAGG